AAGCAGUCUAAGAUUUUGUUGUUCUUUGUUAAGUGUCAUAAAAAAUGUGUUUAAAGUUAGGUUCACUACAAAUUCCGUAAAGACACAAACACACAUGUAAUUGGCUUAGUACAUGUGUUUGCGUGUGUAGUUCCGAAAUGCAUCACUUGAAUGUUGUGUGUGGACAAAAGAGCGUGAAAGAGGAAGCGCAAGCGAGAGAGGAAUGUCCCAUGCAGCUGCACCGCUCUUGCAAUGUUAGUUAACAGCGGCUUCCGUUAACAUAUGUUUGGUGCGCUAACAGAAUGUAAACCAAAAUUAAACGAUAAAAUAAAAACACAAUGCAUACA